rnacentral:rRNA from 1 species
GACGAACGCUGGCGGCGUGCUUAACACAUGCAAGUCGAACGGUGAAGCGAGUGCUUGCACUCGUGGAUCAGUGGCGAACGGGUGAGUAACACGUGAGUAACCUGCCCAUCACUCUGGGAUAAGCACUGGAAACGGUGUCUAAUACUGGAUACGACCAACCCUUGCAUGGGGUGUUGGUGGAAAGAUUUAUCGGUGAUGGAUGGACUCGCGGCCUAUCAGCUUGUUGGCGGGGUAAUGGCCCACCAAGGCGACGACGGGUAGCCGGCCUGAGAGGGUGACCGGCCACACUGGGACUGAGACACGGCCCAGACUCCUACGGGAGGCAGCAGUGGGGAAUAUUGCACAAUGGGCGAAAGCCUGAUGCAGCGACGCCGCGUGAGGGAUGACGGCCUUCGGGUUGUAAACCUCUUUCAGCAGGGAAGAAGAGAAAGUGACGGUACCUGCAGAAGAAGCACCGGCUAACUACGUG